rnacentral:rRNA from 1 species
CCUAGGGAGCUGCAGUGGGGAAUAUUGGACAAUGGGCGAAAGCCUGAUCCAGCCAUGCCGCGUGUGUGAAGAAGGCCUUCGGGUUGUAAAGCACUUUCAGUGGGGAAGAAAGCCUUGGGGCUAAUACCCUCGAGGAAGGACAUCACCCACAGAAGAAGCACCGGCUAACUCCGUGCCAGCAGCCGCGGUAAUACGGAGGGUGCGAGCGUUAAUCGGAAUUACUGGGCGUAAAGCGCGCGUAGGCGGUCUGAUAAGCCGGUUGUGAAAGCCCCGGGCUCAACCUGGGAACGGCAUCCGGAACUGUCAGGCUAGAGUGCAGGAGAGGAAGGUAGAAUUCCCGGUGUAGCGGUGAAAUGCGUAGAGAUCGGGAGGAAUACCAGUGGCGAAGGCGGCCUUCUGGACUGACACUGACGCUGAGGUGCGAAAGCGUGGGUAGCAAACAGGAUUAGAUACCCCGGUAGUC